rnacentral:rRNA from 1 species
UGCCAGACUCCUACGGGAGGCAGCAGUGAGGAAUAUUGGUCAAUGGGCGUAAGCCUGAACCAGCCAAGUCGCGUGAGGGACGACGGCCCUACGGGUUAUAAACCUCUUUUGCCGGGGGACAAACGGCGGUACGCGUGCCGUCCUGAGGGUACCCGGAGAAAAAGCAUCGGCUAACUCCGUGCCGGCAGCCGCGGUAAUACGGAGGAUGCGAGCGUUAUCCGGAUUUAUUGGGUUUAAAGGGUGCGCAGGCGGCGAGUUAAGUCAGCGGUAAAAUUUGGGGGCUCAACCCCGGCGAGCCGUUGAAACUGGCUUGCUAGAGUGGGCGAGAAGUAUGCGGAAUGCGUGGUGUAGCGGUGAAAUGCAUAGAUAUCACGCAGAACUCCGAUUGCGAAGGCAGCAUACCGGCGCCCAACUGACGCUCAGGCACGAAAGCGUGGGUAUCGAACAGGAUUAGAUACCCCAGUAGA